rnacentral:rRNA from 1 species
AUUGAACGCUGGCGGCAGGCCUAACACAUGCAAGUCGAGCGGAGCGGCGGACGGGUGCGUAAUGCCUAGGAAUCUGCCUGGUAGUGGGGGAUAACGUCCGGAAACGGGCGCUAAUACCGCAUACUCUCAGAUGAGCCUAGGUCGGAUUUGCUAGUUGGUGGGGUAAAGGCCUACCAAGGCGACGAUCCGUAACUGUGCUGAGAGGAUGAUCAGUCACACUGGAACUGAGACACGGUCCAGACUACUACGAGAGGCAAGAGUGGGGAAUGUUGGACAAUGGGCUAAGGCCUGAUCCAGCCAGGCCGCGUGUGUGAAGAAGGUCAGCGGAUUGGAAAGCACUUUAAGUUGGGAGGCGUUACCAACAGAAUAAGCACCGGCUAACUUCGUGCCAGCAGCCGCGGUAAUUC